AUUGAACGCUGGCGGCAGGCCUAACACAUGCAAGUCGAACGGAGUGGCGAACGGGUGAGUAAUGUAUCGGAACGUGCCCAGUAGCGGGGGAUAACUACGCGAAAGCGUAGCUAAUACCGCAUACUAUUGGAGCGGCCGAUAUCGGAUUAGCUAGUUGGUGGGGUAACGGCUCCACAAGGCGACGAUCCGUAGCUGGUUUGAGCGGACGACCAGACACACUGGUACUGAGACACGGCCCAGCCUCCUACGUGAGGCAGCAUGGGGGAAUUUUGGACAAUGGGGUAAACCCUUAUCCAGCCAUCCCGCGUGUGCGAUGAAGGCCUUCGGGUUGUAAAGCACUUUUGGCAGGAAAGCGGUACCUGCAGAAUAAGCACCGGCUAACUACGUGCCAGCAGCCGCGGUAAUAC
rnacentral:rRNA from 1 species